GUGUUACGACUUUUGCAUCCUUUAGAGGGCUCUAUUUACGCAACUUUCCGACCAACUCCGCAAAAGCAAAGAUGAUCAGUCCGAUGAGUUCACAGGACCCUCCGAUCGGUUGCAGCGACGGGCGGUGUGUACAAGGGGCAGGGACGUAAUCGGCGCAAGCUGCUGACUUGCGCCUACUAGGCAUUCCUCGUUGAAGAUUAAUAAUUGCAAUAAUCUAUCCCCAUCACGAUGCACACUCAAAAGAUUCCCAG
rnacentral:rRNA from 1 species